GCCUCAGUGGGCCGGGGCCCUGCUCUCCGCACCUGGGGCGUGAGGACGUAGGCGGCGCGCGGCGCGCAGGCCGCUCAGCGCUAGGCAGGGCCCGUCGGCUGCGCGCGUCUGGGCGUGACGGGGGAAUGAGCGCCGUUUCCUGGGCGUCUCUGGCCGCACGGAGUAGAGUGAGCUCCUCCCUCCCCGACUCGAGCGGUUUGCCGUGUUUCCGCUCCUUGCUUCUUUUGUUCCUUUCACCAGAGUUUUCUUGACUGUAUACUGCAUGCUCGACGACGUUCUAGGUGCUGCGGGGAUACAGAAGUGAAUCUGAUAAGGACCCUCGCCCGGGGUCCUAGGUGUUUUAAGCCUGGGGAAGAUGAAGAGAUAGAAUACAAUGUAGAAAGUGCUGGAUGCCUUUAGAAAGCUACGGGAUUGGUGCCAUGGCAGCUGGAGAGAAGCACGAGUCAGUCCACCCUUUGGGCUCAGGAAGACUGUUGAGGUCUGAGACCCUCAAGGCAGGUUUGAAAACUCAAACUUGAUUGAGCAGUGGUGUCCGGCCUGUGAGAUGACUCCUUUUUAAGACAAAAAAAUUCUGAAAGAUGUCCACAAUUGUUCUGUAGUGUUUAGUCCCCUUCAAAUACCAGCAUGGAUUGAUGAGCGAUGUGUAGGUCUGUGCCCAGGAUCCGAACCCACAAACCCCAGGAUGCCGAAGCGGAGUGCGUGAACUUAACCAUUAUGCCACUGGGCCAGCCCCUUUUAGGAAGAUUCACCCUGAGCUAACAUCCGUUGCCAGUCUUCCUCUUUUUUUCGCUUGAGGAAGAUUAGCCCUGAGCUAACAUCUGUGCCCAUCUUCCUCUACUUUAUAUGUGGGACACCUCCACAGCAUGGCUGGCGAGUAGAGAAGGUCUAUGCCUGGGAUCCAAACCCGCGAACCUGGGCUGCUGAAGUGGAACGCGUGGAACUUUUUAAUCACUUGGCCAUGGGGCCAGGCCCUUUAGGGCCGGUGUAAUUGUCCUGUGGCUGGCAGCAGUUUGGUGGGACCUGUAGCCUUCAUUGGAGUGCAACCCACACUUCUGUCCAACCAUCUCUGACUGAAAAAUGAGAUGCAACCACAUUUUGUUUGACCAUAUUUUGGGAACCCGACCUGAUGAUUAUUAAGCCAACCCCCAGGACAAAAAACAA